rnacentral:misc_RNA from 1 species
AAGAGCAAGGGUGCCACGCGCGCCCGACCUCCAACCCUCUGUUGUCAUAACGAUACCGUUGCUUCGGCGGGACCGCCCGGUCAGCCGGGCCGCCGGGGCCCCUCGCGGGGCCCAGGGCGAGCGCCCGCCGGAGUCAAACCAAACCCUUGCUUCAACCGGUCGUCUGAGUUAAAAAUUUUUGAAUUAAAUCA